rnacentral:sRNA from 1 species
GACUCCGAGAGGGAGUGUGGGUGAGAAGCUGCGUUCAGGUUCGAGCCGAGCGAAGCGAGACGACAACGCGACAGCGUUGCCCGCAGGGUGAGGCCAGCGGCCGAAUCAAUCCCGCACAACCCACCA